UCUCUCUCUUUUCCUCCCCUUGACUGGAUGGGUUGAGGUGUGUGUGUGUGUGUGUGUGGAAGGCGGAGGUGACGGUGGUGGAAGACACUUACUCAGUGUGUGGGUGUUGUCUUCACCUCUUUCUCUUCUUCCCUCCAUCCCUCCCUCUCUCUCUUCCUCUUCUCUGAUCCUCAGAGACAGGCUCUCUUCUUCCUCCUCCUACUCCUGCCUGUGCCACAUGCACUGUUUCUUCUUCUUUGUUAUUGUCGGCCUCCAUUGCCUCCAGCUGAAAGGACAUAUCUCGCUUUAUUCAAAAAUACUUGAAAAUUAUGCGAAUGUAUAUGUUUGUGUUUCUCCUCCCAAAGAUGAACGUUUUUUUUUUUUUUUUUUUUUUUUGUGAGACUGUCAGAUAAAAAAAAAUGGUGGAUCUGGAGGGGAUUCACUGAAGCCUUUUUGCUCUCGACACCCACAUGUGAACACUGUUCAGGCAAGCAUCUGGUGUCUGAUGGCUGUGAUAUGGGACAUGAGUGACAUUAAUACUUAUGACAAAGAGAGCGAGAGAGAUAGAGAGAGAGAGAGACUACAGGACAUACCUACUGCUACGUUGGCUCUCCACAAAGCUCUCGUGGCAUAAGAUCUCUCUAGCCGACUUUCGAAGCAGGAUGUGAGACUGUUGGCCUAUCUCUCAGCUUCCUGUGUGCUUGAUGGGUGCAUUUUGGUGGCACAUGUUGUGUCGCUCCCAAAGCAGUCUUGUCAUUUAGAAGAGGGAAAAAAAAAAACCUCUGGGCUCAGAGCAAUCCUACAAGUAUGAUAACUGGAUACCAUACUAUCAUACUCACUGAAAAAGGGAAUACACUGUUACACUGUCUGCACGCUGAAUAUGAACAUGAACGUGUGUAUGCUACAGUGUAUGCAGAUCAGUGUGUGUGUGUGUGUACGAGAGAGAGAGCGUGUGUAUGUGUGUGUCUGUGUGCGUGCUCGCUCAUGGCGCAUCACACAACAAAGAGUGUGUGUGUGUGUGUUGUGCUGCGAUACGCAUAUGGUCCCCCUCCAAUGGCUUCAGCUGUAGAGCAUGGAGGGAUGGCUGUCUCGGAGGGCCAAUCCUGGGCCUCCCUCUCCACUCCUUAGGACCCUCCUGGAGGAGCUCAUGACAGCACUGAUGUCAACAACACCACCACCAACACCACCAACAGCCAUCCCAGACAACAUCAACUUAAAAGAUGGAUCAUGCCAGACACACUUGUGGCGUCUGUUGAAGACGGGUUCACACUAGUUACCUUAGUGUACGCAGACCUGUUCCAAAGAAAGAGGAGGAUUUAAGAGGAACCUCCUGAGGACAUGAGCUUGACUCUGUGGAGUGCAGUGCUGUCAGUACUGCGUCUGUACUGUGUUUGUUCAUUCUGACACUCACAACCGUAUGUCAAUCGUUAAAAAAAAAAAAAAAAAAAAAAAAAAAAAAAAAAAUGGACAAUCACUGUAUCUGUAUUUGCUUUGAUUUGCUGAAAUGUAUGAUGUACUACAUCCUGAUGUAAGAUGAAUGUAUCAUAUGUCAGGGGGGAAAAAACACUUAAAAACAACCAAAAGGAGAAAAAAAACUCAAUAGAACAUGGCACUGUAUGAGAAGGCACCAUCUGUGAUAGUACUCCAGCUUCUCAAAGCUGUAAAGUAAUGUAGAUUGUGCCUUGGACGUUGUGCUGAAGAAUGCUUCACAAUAGAAUUGUUCUCCACCGGUGCCAAAACUAUGAAAACAAAGUCAUUCAAAUGGUUUAGUUCUUCCAUGUUCAUUGUGUUGCAGUAUUGUUUUUUUCCCCCCUUUCCUGUGUCUCCAAACCCAAAAAUGAUUUCUCAACUCCCUCCCUGUAGAGAGGAGCGCUAUAUUUUGUGUGAUUGUUGUAUUUCUGCUUUAUGUAACAUUUCUCUCUGUCGCAUCUGAAGCAAGGGCGAGGACCAGCUCAGUGCUUCUUUAAUUCUGUGCUGGUUAAGCUUAGGCUUAUGUUCAGUGAUGCCUGUUGACCUGAAACCAAUGCUGUAUUGUAAAUCUCUGAAUCUUGCCUCAAUUUUUUUUCAACACUGUUCUUAUCUUUGCGUUUUGGCAGCCACAGAUAGGCCAUGCUCCACUGGGUAGCUUUUUUUUCUUUCUUUCUUACUUGCAAAACAAUUCAAGGCAAAGCUCUGCACAUUUGAGGAUGUCUUCUCUGUCACAAGUGACAUUUAUAUUUAGUCUUACAAAGAUGUUUCUAAGGUAAUAGUCUGCACUGUCGGUUUGUUGCUUGGCGGUGUAAAACUUUGAGGUGACUGCAACCAAAACCAUCACAUUUUCUAGUUCUUAUGAUGCAGCAAAGUCAACGAGCAGCUCAUCACCAUGACUACAAUUCAGAAGUGCCAAAACAAUCCCUCUCCUUUAUCUCCUCAAUGUGACAUGUUAAAAGUGAGAUCUGUCCCCAAUGGGUUAUGAUGGAAGACUUGACAUUGUAUUGCGUGCGUGUGGGUGGGCGGCUUUUAUCCUUACCCCUGAGCUUGAUCUUCAGGUCUGGAAGUAGUCCUCAUGUGUUUGCACUGCGUGUAUCAUUGCAAUAGUCCAGUUAUUACGGUGGACAGAGACAGAGUGGCUGUAUGCUGACUGACUGGCCAGUCGGUCGGCUCUGUGUGUCUGUCAGUGGUCUGGCGUAUCAUCCUGGAGGAACUGUCACAUUACAUCUCAACAACAAUAAAAACAGACUUUUCCUGUCUUUUAUACUCUCA